rnacentral:misc_RNA from 1 species
ACAUUAACUUGACUUGAGUUCGAGUCAAAAUUGAGACUUCAUUUGUGUUCUGAACCAGAUGAGCCUUGAAUUGUAUAAGAAUUCAGGUUCCGGUGUGACCGCAUAUACUGAACAUUGUGGGAUACGAAACUGUAGAAAGCUAUUCUACGGAUCGAAUUUCAUCAUCACAAUGAGUUCAGUAUGAAAGGUGUGACUGGAGCAAUUUCAACUGAAUACUUCCAAAAUUAAUUUUGAAAUUUAUUUCAAU